AGUGAACGCUGGCGGUAGGCCUAACACAUGCAAGUCGAACGGCAGCACAGUAAGAGCUUGCUCCUACGGGUGGCGAGUGGCGGACGGGUGAGGAAUACAUCGGAAUCUACUUUUUCGUGGGGGAUAACGUAGGGAAACUUACGCUAAUACCGCAUACGACCUACGGGUGAAAGCAGGGGAUCUUCGGACCUUGCGCGAUUGAAUGAGCCGAUGUCGGAUUAGCUAGUUGGCGGGGUAAAGGCCCACCAAGGCGACGAUCCGUAGCUGGUCUGAGAGGAUGAUCAGCCACACUGGAACUGAGACACGGUCCAGACUCCUACGGGAGGCAGCAGUAGGGAAUCUUCGACAAUGGGCGCAAGCCUGAUCCAGCCAUACCGCGUGGGUGAAGAAGGCCUUCGGGUUGUAAAGCCCUUUUGUUGGGGAAGAAAAGCAGCAGGUUAAUCCCCCGCUGUUCUGACGGUACCCAAAGAGUAAGCACCGGCUAACUUCGUG
rnacentral:rRNA from 1 species